UAAAUAGCCAGGCCCGCUUUGGCGGGUCGCAGGCUUCUUAGAGGGACUAUCGGCUCAAGCCGAAGGAAGUUUGAGGCAAUAACAGGUCUGUGAUGCCCUUAGAUGUUCUGGGCCGCACG
rnacentral:rRNA from 1 species